AUUUAUAUAGUUUAGAAAAAACAUUACAUUUUCACUGUAAAAAUAAAGAAAACUUUUAUAAAUA
rnacentral:tRNA from 1 species